CAAAGGGGAGUUAGACUGGCCCCUAAUCCUGAAGGAGUCCAAUGCCAGUGGAGAAGACCAACAAGGAGACAAACUACAACAUGAUGAAUUCCAGACCGGGAAAGAGCAGAUGAACCCUGUCUAGGAAAGUCUGAGGUCCAUGGCCUGUGAAGCUCCUCUCUACGUACAUUCUUUUCAACUCAUCCACCCUCCCACCUUUGACUUUGUGAUCUGGAAUGUUUGCAGAGUGGGAAUGAGAGAGAAUUCGACGAGGAGGAAAAGUUUGAAUAAAGAUUGUUUCUCAUAAAGAACUCCAGGACACACCACCCCAUGUGCGGCUUUGGUACAUGGAUGAUCGAGCUGAAGGCACUGGAGGAACAGCCAGUGUGGGGAGCCCUUCUCAGAGCCCUGUACCUACCGAAAGGCAGACCCGCCAGAAGGAGCUCACUGUAGCCCGUCCCCUCCCCAGGAUGGCACCAGCAGGGAACAAGUGGCACUAAUCCCAGGAGAGAGACGAGAAGGCAGCACCCCACCCAGACACGCUGUCCCAAGCCAGCCGCAGGGCCCUCCAGCCUCCCGCAAGUCACUUCUCUGCACUAAGUUGGUCACACACACCCUCAACCCCCUUCCCUGUGAAGACAAACGUCAGCUCGCAAACUGCAGCCCUUCACUGAACAUUCACGUUUUAUCCUGUGUUGCCCCACAAACACAGAAGAUCAAAAACAAGUACAUUCAUACAACUUGUCUGCUGCUAAUCUGCCUGUUGUCGGUUUAUUUCACAGACCAGCUACUGAACCAGGAGGGUUAAGGCACUAUUCCUGCAGGGGAAUCUCCAGGUUCAAGAAUGUCUGUGACAUCAGGUCACCUUUACUGCUGGCAUUACCUCCUUCAAAUUGCCACCAGUACUUUGUAGAUUCUCUCAAAUGUAUAGAAGGAAGGCAGGAGAGAUGGAGAGAGCCCUGGAAUAGGUGUCAGGUGGCCUAUAUGUCACCCACUCUGCAGGUUACUGGCUCUUCAACUCUGGGCAAAGCUCAUAGCCCCUCAAGGCUGCCAUUUUCUCAUUUAUGAAAACCUAGGUGGCGAGUGGGGUAGAUUUAGUCAUCUCUCAAAUUCUUUACUGCUGAAAAACUCCAAGAGCCAGUUCCUGAAACUCUGGGGGAAGCAAGAGACAUUAUCUGUUGUGUCAUCUGUGCUGUGUUCAUGUUGCAUAGCCAGUUGGAUACCUACUUGGUGGUGUUUCCCCAUCUCCUUUUACUGAAAUGAUGUGCCCUCUGAUGACUUUUUCUUCUUUUAAAUAGAUAUGAAGGAAAUAUCCAAUUUUUUUUCCCCUUGGUUUACAGCCAUGGCUUCUUGUCCUGGAGUUUUCUGAGCCUGUGAAUAAUUAUCUGCUUUAACUUAUGGAUACCCUGAAGAUUUAAAGCAUAUGGACAUAAAGGACACGGAAAGUUUACAACCCAUUCAUCCAUCCUGAAAAAGUUUUCUGCAGGAAAAAAAACAAGGAAUCCAAGAAAGAGAAUAAAAUUCAAAACAUGUGGAAGUGGCCAUCUCCUCAAAACUGUCAAGGUCAUCAAAAGCAAAGACCAAGAAACUGUUACAGCCAAGAAGAGCCUAAAGAGACAGUCCAUCGAAUGUAAUGUGGUAUUCUGAAAUAGACAACAGACAUUCAACAAAAGCUAAAGAAAUGUGAAUAAAGCACAAACUUGUCUUUGCCAUUUUACUGUGUAAAUCCAAAAUUACUCUAAAAAAAUUUUGUGAAAAAAUAGAACCAAUCUCAUAGAGUUGUU